rnacentral:rRNA from 1 species
GACGAACGCUGGCGGCGUGCCUAAUACAUGCAAGUAGAACGCAGUUGCGAACGGGUGAGUAACGCGUAGGUAACUGCCUCAUAGCGGGGGAUAACUAUUGGACACGAUAGCUAAUACCGCAUACUGUGAGAUGGACCUGCGUUGUAUUAGCUAGUUGGUGAGGUAAAGGCUCACCAAGGCGACGAUACAUAGCCGACCUGAGAGGGGGAGCUGCACCGCUGGGACUGAGACACGGCCCAGACGCCGACGAAGUACAUCAGUAAUUAAUCUUCGGCAAUUUACGGAAGUCUGACCUAGCAACGCCGCGGGAGUGAAGAAGAUUUUCGGAUCAUUAAACUCUGUUGUUAGAGAAGCGGUAACUAACCAGAAAGGGACGGCUAACUACGUGCCAGCAGCCGCGGUAAUUC